ensembl:snRNA U7 U7 small nuclear RNA
UAGUGUUAUAGCUCUUUUAGAAUUUGUCUAGCAGGUUUUCCAGUCCUUACCGGAAGAUGCCCCA